CUGGAUAGACAAUCCCACGCUGCUUCCUUCCAUACAUCAUCAAGUACUACAAGACAACAUUUGUCUUGGAGAUCUUUAUAGAGCCUUUCUUCCAACACUUCCUCUUCCACUUCCAUCUUUUCCAACAUUUCAGAUAGCUUGUCAUCGUUUGGAUUUAAUUGCUUUAUGAUUGAUCUUAGUAUCUUUUUGUGAUCAUAGCUUGAAGAGACACAUACCCAAGCACGGCAGUUGAAUCUUGCCCUGACAUCAGCAUGGUUAUAAACUUUUUUGGCUAGAGUUGUCUUACCAGCACCUCCCAUGCCAACGAUUGAAACCACACGGCGGUUUUCGUCCUCUUUCAAAAGUUCUGCCACCAGCGAUUUUGUAAUCUCCACGAAGCCCACUAUAUCCUUGUCCUCAGUAACUGGAGAGGACCGUCGGAGCCGUUGAAGCUCUUCUCCAUGUGUACUCGUUCCCUCUCCAAGAUUUUUGAUACCGUAUUUUUCACGGCUGUCGGCUAUGUCAUUGAUCCUCAUCUGUAAGGACUCAAUCUCUUUACCUAUCUUGUAGAAGUUCACAAUUUUCAAGGGAUAAUAUGUCAAUUUGGUGACCAAUCCCUCGUCCUUUGUGAAGAGCUCAACUUUGCUGGCAAAUAUCUCAAUGAUAUCCUCCGCAUCGUAGGCAGCAUCUCGGAUUUCAGAAACCCAGUGGCGAAUCCUCUCCUCUUCAUCUUGCCUUUGAUCUGCAUCUUUCAGGAAACACCGCAUCCGGGCCAGAUCAUUUCGAAGUCUCUCAACUUGUCGUCGAACGCCUUUCAGGAAAACAAUUUUUUGAAUCAGCAGAUCGCCAGUUCUCUCAAUAACAAAAGAGAGAGCAGGGUCAGCCAUCGUGGUAAAGUGAGCUUUGCUUUGAACAACUAGUAAAGGAGGAGAAGCUUUUGCCUGUUAGUCAAUAAGAAAGCAGUUCGAUUUACAUGGUAGGGACGUCUGGGAGCCCUCCAAAAAAGAUAAAGGUGCUGCUGCUGUCGUGUUUUGGGACGGUGGAAUAAUUCAUCUUUAUCCUUGCCUUCAUUUUAUUAUUUGCCUGAGAUCCUUUCUUUCCAUCAUGUUCACCUUUUCUACUGACCUAAAUAAGCUACAGUAAUCAAGCGCAUCUUUUCCAUUUCAUAAUCUGGACACAUUAUUGAAUUUUGCUCCUCGGUUAUUUCAU